CAUAGCUCAGUCGGUAGAGCAGCGGCCUUUUAAGCCGAGGGUCCUAGGUUCGAAUCCUAGU
rnacentral:tRNA from 1 species